AGUAAUGUAUGGGGAUCUGCCUGAUGGCGGGGGAUAACUACUGGAAACGGUAGCUAAUACCGCAUAACGUCGCAAGACCAAAGAGGGGGACCUUCGGGCCUCUUGCCAUCGGAUGUGCCCAGAUGGGAUUAGCUAGUAGGUGGAGUAACGGCUCACCUAGGCGACGAUCCCUAGCUGGUCUGAGAGGAUGACCAGCCACACUGGAACUGAGACACGGUCCAG
rnacentral:rRNA from 1 species